rnacentral:rRNA from 1 species
GACGAACGCUGGCGGCGUGCUUAACACAUGCAAGUCGAACGGAAAGGCCCUGCUUUUGUGGGGUGCUCGAGUGGCGAACGGGUGCGUAACACGUGAGUAACCUGCCCUUGACUUUGGGAUAACUUCAGGAAACUGGGGCUAAUACCGGAUAGGAGCUCCUGCUGCAUGGUGGGGGUUGGAACGUUUCGGCGGUCGGGGAUGGACUCGCGGCUUAUCAGCUUGUUGGUGGGGUAGUGGCUUACCCAGGCUUUGACGGGUAGCCGGCCUGAGAGGGUGACCGGCCACAUUGGGACUGAGAUACGGCGCAGACUCCAACGGGAGGCAGCAGUGGGGAAUAUUGCACAAUGGGCGGAAGCCUGAUGCAGCAACGCCGCGGGCGGGAUGACGGCCUUCGGGUUGUAAACCGCUUUCGCCUGUGACGAAGCGUGAGUGACGGUAAUGGGUAAAGAAGCACCGGCUAACUACGUG